rnacentral:rRNA from 1 species
UUCUUCGGAUGAAGGUCUGGUGACUGAGUGGCGGACGGGUGAGUAACGCGUGGGUAACCUGCCUCAUACAGGGGGAUAACAGUUGGAAACGACUGCUAAUACCGCAUAAGCGCACAGGAUUGCAUGAUCCGGUGUGAAAAACUCCGGUGGUAUGAGAUGGACCCGCGUCUGAUUAGCUAGUUGGUGAGGUAACGGCCCACCAAGGCGACGAUCAGUAGCCGGCCUGAGAGGGUGAUCGGCCACAUUGGAACUGAGACACGGUCCAAACUCC